rnacentral:rRNA from 1 species
AUCAGAAGUGCGAAUGCUGACAUAAGUAACGAUAAAGCGGGUGAAAAGCCCGCUCGCCGGAAGACCAAGGGUUCCUGUCCAACGUUAAUCGGGGCAGGGUGAGUCGACCCCUAAGGCGAGGCCGAAAGGCGUAGUCGAUGGGAAACGGGUUAAUAUUCCCGUACUUGGUGUUACUGCGAAGGGGGGACGGAGAAGGCUAUGUUGGCCGGGCGACGGUUGUCCCGGUUUAAGCGUAUAGGUGUGUGUUCCAGGUAAAUCCGGUUCACUUUAACACUGAGGCGUGAUGACGAGGCGCUACGGUGCUGAAGCAACAAAUGCCCUGCUUCCAGGAAAAGCCUCUAAGCAUCAGGUAACAUCAAAUCGUACCCCAAACCGACACAGGUGGUCAGGUAGAGAAUACCAAGGCGCUUGAGAGAACUCGGGUGAAGGAACUAGGCAAAAUGGUGCCGUAACUUCGGGAGAAGGCACGCUGACAUGUAGGUGAAGUGAUUUACUCACGGAGCUGAAGUCAGUCGAAGAUACCAGCUGGCUGCAACUGUUUAUUAAAAACACAGCACUGUGCAAACACGAAAGUGGACGUAUACGGUGUGACGCCUGCCCGGUGCCGGAAGGUUAAUUGAUGGGGUCAGCGCAAGCGAAGCUCCUGAUCGAAGCCCCGGUAAACGGCGGCCGUAACUAUAACGGUCCUAAGGUAGCGAAAUUCCUUGUCGGGUAAGUUCCGACCUGCACGAAUGGCGUAAUGAUGGCCAGGCUGUCUCCACCCGAGACUCAGUGAAAUUGAACUCGCUGUGAAGAUGCAGUGUACCCGCGGCAAGACGGAAAGACCCCGUGAACCUUUACUAUAGCUUGACACUGAACAUUGAGCCUUGAUGUGUAGGAUAGGUGGGAGGCUUUGAAGUGUGGACGCCAGUCUGCAUGGAGCCGACCUUGAAAUACCACCCUUUAAUGUUUGAUGUUCUAACGUGGACCCGUAAUCCGGGUUGCGGACAGUGUCUGGUGGGUAGUUUGACUGGGGCGGUCUCCUCCUAAAGAGUAACGGAGGAGCACGAAGGUUGGCUAAUCCUGGUCGGACAUCAGGAGGUUAGUGCAAUGGCAUAAGCCAGCUUGACUGCGAGCGUGACGGCGCGAGCAGGUGCGAAAGCAGGUCAUAGUGAUCCGGUGGUUCUGAAUGGAAGGGCCAUCGCUCAACGGAUAAAAGGUACUCCGGGGAUAACAGGCUGAUACCGCCCAAGAGUUCAUAUCGACGGCGGUGUUUGGCACCUCGAUGUCGGCUCAUCACAUCCUGGGGCUGAAGUAGGUCCCAAGGGUAUGGCUGUUCGCCAUUUAAAGUGGUACGCGAGCUGGGUUUAGAACGUCGUGAGACAGUUCGGUCCCUAUCUGCCGUGGGCGCUGGAGAACUGAGGGGGGCUGCUCCUAGUACGAGAGGACCGGAGUGGACGCAUCACUGGUGUUCGGGUUGUCAUGCCAAUGGCACUGCCCGGUAGCUAAAUGCGGAAGAGAUAAGUGCUGAAAGCAUCUAAGCACGAAACUUGCCCCGAGAUGAGUUCUCCCUGAGACUUUA